GGUUUUGAGGGUUCCGGGUGUGGAGUCUCGAGCCUGGGUUGCACCUGCUCUUGGCCGGGAGGUGACUCCCAGAGCCGCAAUGCCAGCUCAUGAGGAUGGCUUUACCCAGGACGCGUUCAUGAUGCCAGCAAGGCAGAGCCACCAAAACAGAAAAAUGGAAGAUGCAUUUUGUGGAAAGAUUGUGUUAUUUGAAAUUUCAAAGCGAGCACUGCAGUUGUCCUCACAGGUAGAAAGAAGGGCAUUUUGCAGGGUGGAGAGGGCAGGACCAUUUAUUUUAGCACUCGGGGUUUCUGAAGGUUAUUGUCUCCUGAGGGACCCUGAAUUCAUUUAGGGACUCCUAGUCAAGGGCCCUCUGGGUCCCCCCAAGACUGGCACAGAACUCUCUCCCUAAGAGUGAACUUGGGAAACAGGCUGGGAACUCCCCCCAAUCCGGAUGCCCCACACCUUGGGAAGAAGUUGGUUAAUCCGAUUCUUCCAGGCCCAUUUCAGCUUGGGGAUAGAGGGUGUGAUCCAGCUAUAAAUGGGGUUCUAAGUUCUCAAACACGCCUGGCAGCUGCAGAUUCUGCCUCUCAGGCACCAUUUCCCUUUAGACCCUGAGAAGUAAGGCCUCAAAUAGAGAGGACAGAGACUGUGCUUUACUUUCUGGGGGAAGGAACCAUUUCUCUUGGGCAGGCAUGGGGGCUGGGUGUCAGGAAAAGGGCCAGGGGCCCAGUCCUGGAAUCAGAUUCCAGGAAGUUUCCCUAGGAAACGUCCCCAUGCCACUGUCUUUGGCUCACCAGAAUCCCCUGAGGUGCACAGCUUCACACAGUAAGAUGGGCCCAGCUGCCUCUGUACCAGCUCGUGCUAUGUUGUGUGGGCUUUUAAGGGUUUGUUUGUUUAUUUAUUUACUUAUUUGAGACAGGGUCUUGCUCUGUUACCCAGGCUGAAGUGCAGUGGCACGAUCAUAGCUCACUGUACCCUCAACCUCCUGGACUCAAGCAAUUCACCUCAACCUCCCAAGUAGCUGGGGCCACAGGCGCAUGCCACCAUGCCUGGCUAAUUUUUUAAAUUUUUUUGUAGAGAUGGGGGUCUUGCUUUGUUACCCAGGAUGGUCUUGAACUCCUGAUCUCAAGCAAUCCUCCCACCUCCCAAAGUGCUGGGAUUACAGGUGUGAGCCAUCAUGCCCAGAGGGUUUAAUUUUUUUUUUUUUUUUUUUGAAAUGAAGUCUCACUCUGUGGCCCAGACUGGAGUGCAAUGGCGUGGUCUUGGCUCACUGCAACCUCCACCUCCCUGGUUCAAGUGAUUCUCCUGCCUCAGCUUCCCAAGUAUUUGAGAUUACAGGUGCCCAUCACCAUGCCGGGCUAAUUUUUGUAUUUUCAGUAGAGACGGGGUUUCACCGUGUUGGCUAGUCUGGUCUCGAACUCCUGACCUUGAGUGAUCCACCUGCCUUGGCCUCCCAAAGUGCUGGGAUUACAGGCGUGAGCCACCGCGCCCAGCUAAUUUUGUUUUUUUUUUAACUUAGUUUCUAACAUUAAAAAAUUGACACUCAUAAAACUGAUUCUUUUAUUUUUUUAGACGGAGUUUCGCUCUUCUUCCCAUGCUGGAGUGCAAUGGCGCAAUCUCAGCUCACCCCAACCUCCGCCUCCUGGGUUCAAGCGAUUCUCCUGCCUCAGCCUCCUGAUUACCUGGGAUUACAGGCAUGUGCCACCACACCUGGCUAAUUUUGUGUUUUUAGUAGAGAUGGGGUUUCUCCAUGUCGGUCAGGCUGGUCUGGAACUCCUGACCUCAGGUGAUCCGCCCACCUCAGCCUCCUAAAAUGCUGGGAUUACAGGCGUGAGCCACCGCGCCCAGCCUAUAAAAUUGAUUCUUUAAAAAAAAUUAGAACAUUUACCGAUGCUGGACCCACCUUCCCCACCUUCAGGGUCCACUUUCUAGGUGGCCACAGUGCCUGCUUGGCCCCUGUAGCAUUUGAGUUUGCAACUCUGCUUUUGGAGUUAAACAUGUUUUAGGAGUCCUGGGAUUCUGAUUGAUGCUAUUGUCAAUUUGAUGAAAGAAAAAUUACUCCUGGGAUUUGUGUCUGGUGUUUUCCAGGUGUUCUGGUUUUGGGAUUUUGUUGUUGUUUUGUUUUGUUUUUGUUUUUCUGAGACAGAGUCUCGCUCUGUCAUCCAGGCUGAAGUGCAAUGGCACCAUUUCGGCUCAUUCCAACCCCCACCUCCUGGGUUCAAACGAUUCUUCUGUCUCAGCCUCCCAGGUAGCUGGGAUUACAGGAGUGUGCCACCGCGGCCAGCUAAUUUUUGUAUGUUUAGUAGAGACAGGGUUUCAUCAUGUUGGCCAGGCUGGUCUCGAACUCCUGGGUUCAAGCAAUCCACCCACCUCUGCCUCCCAAAGUGCUGGGAUUAUAGGCUGAGCCACUGUGCCUGGCCAGGUGUUCUGUUUUUGUUUUUGAUUUUUUAGAGAUGUGGUCUCGCUAUAUCACCCAGGCUGGUCUCGGACUCCUGGCUUCAAGCAAGUCUCCCGCCUCAGCCUGCUCAGUAGCUGGGACCACAGGUGCGAGCCACCACACCCGGCUUCUAGGUGUUUUAAGCCUCAAGGCGAAGAGAGACAUGCAACUUAACAAGUCAGUACUGUUUUCAAGCCAGAGUGAGCGAUGAACUGAAAGCUGAAGCGGGGAGGGGUCCUGGAAAUCAUGACACUCUUCACUCUGCCAACCAGGAGGAGAGCUGAGUGUCCAGGGUCAGGGAAUUCACUCCUGAAAGGGACCCUUUCACCCCACACUGUCCCAGGAGUGCACCAAGCCCCCCCAAAAGUGGAUGUGUCGAUGUGUCCCGACUCUUGGGCAAAAGUUUCUCUACCAGCAAAAGAGGCCACUUCAGGGAUACUGGGGGAGUCCAAAGGUUUGGAUCCCUCCAUAGGAUCACCUAAAUUAGGUCAAAUGAAGUCUGAGCAUCUGUUUAAUUGUUCAAAGAAGAUUUAUUGGACAUCUACUGUAAGGCAGACAUUAACUUCUUCUUGAGAAUGAGAGGUGUUCCUUCCAGGGCUGGCUUUUGGAUCUAGGCAGGUCCAGGAGAGACGGUGACCACAGUCGCCAUGUGGCAACAGCAACCCCUAAAAGAGCACCGAAAGGCGUCAGGGCAGGGUGAGUCAGUAAGUAGAGCAGACAUUAAAAACUUAAACGGGGCUGGGUGCAGUGCCUCGUGCCUGUAAUCCCAGCACUUUGGGAGGCCAAGGUGAGCUGAUGGCUUGAGCCCAGGAGUUCCAGACCAGCCUCAGCAACAUAAUGAGACCCCAACUCUAUUUAUUUAUUUAUUUGUUUUGAGACGGAGUCUUGCUCUGUCGCCCAGGCUGGAGUGCAGUGGCACAAUCUCAGCUCACUGCAAGCUCCGCCUCCCGGAUUCACGCCAUUCUCCUGGCUCAGCCUCCUGAGUAGCUGGGACUACAGGCGCCCGCCACAACGCCCAGCUAAUUUUUGUAUGUUUAGUAGAGAUGCAGUUUCACUAUGUUGGCCAGGCUGGUCUCAAACUCCUGGUCUCGAUCUCUUGACCUCGUGAUCCACCCGCCUCGGCCUCCCAAAGUGCUGGGAUUACAGGCUUGAGCCACUGCGCCCGGCCCCCAACUCUAUUUAAAAACAAAAAACUUAAAUGCCUCCAGCCACCAGCUUACAUACGGGACCAAUGGCUUGGGAGUAAGACGGGAGGGAGAAGGGACUUCAGAGGCCUUUGAGAAAUCCUUGAAGAGAAGCCAAAAAACAAUUCGAUUCCUCUGUGACCUCCUGACUUUUAAAUUGAUGACAAAGUUUUAAAAUUUAAGAAUUCCAGCCGGGCGCGGUGGCUCACGCCUGUAAUCCCAGCACUUUGGGAGGCGGAGACGGGCGGAUCACGAGGUCAGGAGAUAGAGACCAUCCUGGCUAAUACUGUGAAACCCCGUCUCUACUAAAAAUACAAAAAAAAUUAGCCGGGCGUGGUGGCGGGCGCCUGUAGUCCCAGCUACUCCGGAGGAUGAGGCAGGAGAAUGGCGUGAACCCGGGAAGGGGAGCUUGCAGUGAGCCGAGAUACCGUCACUGCACUCCAGCCUGGGGGGCGGAGCCAGACUCCGCCUCAAAAAAAAAAAAAAAAAAAAAAAAAGAAUUCCAUACAAGUCAGCAGAACACACCUGCUGUCUGCAUUCAACUCACAGGUCAUCUGUGUAGGGACGUACUUACCUCUCAGUAACUGACUAUAGGCCGGGCGCGGUGGCUCAUGCCUGUAAUCCCAGCACUUUGGGAGGUCAAGGCUGGCGGAUCACCUGAGGUAGGGAGUUCGAGACCAGCCUGACCAACAUGGAGAAACCCCAUCUCUACUAAAAAUACAAAAUUAGCCGGGUGUGGUGGCACAUGCCUGUAAUCCCAGCUACUAGGGAGGCUGAGGCAGGAGAAUCGCUUGAACCUGGGAGGCAGAGGUUGCGGUGAGCCGAGAUCACGCCAUUGCACUCCAGCCUGGGCAACAAGAGUGAAACUCCAUCUCAAAAAAAAAAAAAAAAAAAAAAAGAAUUGACUAUAAUUGGGGCCAGGCACAGUGGCUCACGCCUGUAAUCCCAGCACUUUGGGAGGCCGAGGCGGGCGGAUCACCUGAGGUCAGGAGUUUGAGACCAGCCUGACCAAAAUGGAGAAACCGCGUCUCUACUAAAAAUACAAAAAUUAGCCGGGCAUGGUGGUGCACGCCUGUAAUCCCAGUUACUCGGGAGGCUGAGGCAGGAGAAUUGCUUGAACCCAGGAGACGGAGGUUGUGGUGAGCCGAGAUGGUGCCAUUCAUUGCACUCCAGCCUGAACAACAAGAGCUAAACUCCGUCUCAAAAAAAAAAAAAAAAAAUGGAAGGAAAGAAAGAAUUGACUAUAAUGCACAAAGCCGCUUAGCAGAGCUUCGAGCAUGGUAAAUAAUAAAUGCCAACUCCUGUAGCUGGCGGCUUCACUGACCCUGAGUAAGGAGAGGACUCCUCCUUCAAUAAAUAAAUCAUGAUCUGCUCUCAGAGAUCGACCUGACAGUUAAGUCAAGACUUAAGGAAUAACAAAAACUAGGGAAAAAAAGACCCAUCUGAAGUAAGAACAAAAUAAUUGGUGCUAAUUAAGGUGGCUAAGCCAGGUUGGAGACAGGGAGAUGUAGCCAGCCUUAGGAAGGAAGGAAGGAGACGACGAUAGGGGAAAACAAGGGAACUGAGCAAGGUAAAGAAAAAUAAGAAUAAUAAAGACCAGAGCAGGUCGGCGCGGUGGCUCACACCUGUAAUCCCAGCACUUUGGGAGGCCGCGGCGGGCGGAUCACGAGGUCAGGAGUUUGAGACCAGCCUGGCCAACAUAGUGAAACUCCAUCUCUACUAAAAAUACAAAAAUUAGCUGGGCGUUCUGGCGGGCGCCUGCAAUCCUAGCUACUUGGGAGGCUGAGGCAGGAGAAUCGCUUGAACCCGGGAGGCGGAGGUUGCAGUGAGCCGAGAUCGCGCCACCGCACUCCAGCCAGGGCGACAGUGUGAGACUCCGUCUCAAACAAACAAACAACAAAAAAGAGCAGAGCAAAUAUUGAACUCUAAAAGAGAAGAAAAAGAAACCAGCAGAAGUGUUAGAUAGGUAGGACCCAAGGAAUACACAUUGUUAAAAGAAAAGAUUUCCCAGGGCCACCGGACACCAGCGCGUGAGAAUCCGGAGGCAGGGAGGCGACCCGGUUCCCG
rnacentral:lncRNA from 1 species